AGUGACUGCGGAGAUCAUUACCGAGUGCGGGCUCGCCUUCUUGCGCGGCCCAACCUCCCACCCGUGACUAUUCGUACCUCACGUUGCUUCGGCGCGGCCGCCGUGCCCGCCGGAGACCCCCUCCUGAACGCUGUUCUAGAAAGGGAAUUGCAGUCUGAGUCGAUUGAUGCAAAUCGGUUAAAACUUUCAACAACGGAUCUCUUGGUUCCGGCAUCGAUGAAGAACGCAGCGAAAUGCGAUACGUAAUGUGAAUUGCAGAAUUCAGUGAAUCAUCGAAUCUUUGAACGCACAUUGCGCCCCCUGGUAUUCCGGGGGGCAUGCCUGUCCGAGCGUCAUUACUGCCCUCAAGCGCGGCUUGUGUGUUGGACCGUCGUCCCGCCCGUAUAAGGUGCGGGACGGGCCCGAAAGGCAGUGGCGGCACCGGCUAUCCGGUCCUCGAGCGCAUGGGGCUUUGUCACCCGCUCCGUAGGCCGGGCUGGAGCCCGCCGGCUUCUAUUCAA
rnacentral:misc_RNA from 2 species